GGAGUUGUCUGUGGCCAGAUGUUGAGCACACCUUUUCUCUUGGUCCACGUCUGCAGAACUGGAAGGUCAUUUGUAUGCAGGGCCAAGGUUUUUACUUGGAAAAGAAACCGCACACUUCGAAUCACAGAAGUGUUUACAUAGGGCAGGCUGGAGGGGACGAGAGAGACCUUGGUUGAUGGUGACUCAGUUCAUAAACACAGCAUCAAUAUUGAUAGACUCCAAAAGAUGCAUAUGCAGGACAUCUCUCGGGAUUUGCAGGGACCGACUGUUCAGGUGAACAUCCCGUACUGUUCGUUCGAGCAGGACACGGCAGAUGCUUCUUUCUUGUUUUAUGGAGGGUGGUGGUGGAUUACUCUUCCCAUCUUGUGCUUUUGAGGAUGCUCCAAAAACUUUAAAAAUUUAUCCAUGUUCCCUUUCACACAGUGGGUGUUUCUUUCCUCAGGCAGAAGGAAAACUUACCAAUGGUUUUUGAAUAUGAUAGGAAAGACCACCUGCAGGGAGAGAGUGGGACCCCUGCUCUCUGCCUCUGGUGAGGUCAGAAGGAAAGGAAACGUGGGGGCCAUACGGAGGUGGAGGUAACAAACUGUUCCGACAGCCAAGGUUGAUAAGUGUUCAAAAGUGUGCCCAAGGCCUUUUCCUCUCCUGUGGUUAAUACUGAAUUGGAAAAUAGUGUCUGAAGAAUCUCAGAUGAUGUAAAUGUGGGAUGAAGAGGUGGGGUGGGAGACCUUGUGUGAUGGUUUCUGAAUUAUGAGUCUUUAAAACCUACCUGCAGCCAGGCGCGGCGGCUCACACCUGUAAUCUCAGCACUUUGGGAGGCCAAGGUGGGUGGAUCGCCUGAGGUCAGGAGUUCAAGACCAGGCUGGCCAACAUGGUGAAACCCCAUCUCUACAAAAAUACAAAAAUUAGCCGGGCAUGAUGGUGGGUGCCUGUAAUCCCAGCUACUCGGGAGGCUGAUGUGGGAGAAUCGCUUGAAUAUGGGAGGCGGUGUUUGCAGUAAGGCGGGAUUUCACCCUUGCACUCCAGCGCCUUCCAGUCUGGGUGACUGAGUGAGACUCUGUCUGAAAAACAAACAAACAAACAAACAAACAAACAAACACUUGCUAUUUUCCCUGAGGGAAGAUGGUAUGAAGCUCAUUAGUAUCAACUACUUCCUAAAAUGUUUUGAGGUAAAAAAAAAAAAGUUUUCUUUCUUUAACCAAAACUACAAAUCAUUAGUGAGAUUUUGGGUUAAAUGUUUAUUUUAUUCCCUUCUAGCUGACAUCAUUUUAAGAGUAAAAAUUUAAACUACAAUAAGAGCUUGAAGAGUGGGAUUUUUAUGUGUAAAACACUUAAAAUUUAAUUUAGAGCUAAUAUAAUUGUUUUGUUUUAAUCUGCUGUUGGAAGUAUUUCUAGAAUGUAUCUGUCCACAAUUCUUCCAAUGUGAUUAAAGUAUUCUAAAGAUAAUUGAGCAUUUUAAGAGGAUCUUGUGAUUUCUGGAGUUAUUGCACAAUUUCUGAAGACAAGAAGAGUGUGGGUGAUUAGACUGGGUCCUAAUGCUAGAGAAUGACCUGGAUUUUUCCUUUUGGGGUGGGAGAAGUAGAUGCUUUAUCCCUGGUAUGAGCAAGUUUAUUCUAAUGAGGGACUUUCACCUUUCUCUAACAGGUAGCAUGUCAAAAAUUGGUUGGGGUUCUGAUUAGUUAAUUCCUAGUUAAUUAAAGCUCUGGUAUUUAGAAUAUAACUUCCCAGAGGGUCUUAGGAGGAAAGUUCAUUUUUUCUGUUUAGGUUUCUAAAGAUUUGUUUAUUUAUUAUAACUUUUUUUCACAACAAAUAGAAAUGAAGUGCUUUGCAGGAGAAUUCUAAUUUGCAUAGAACCUUAUGUGGAUAGCACUGGGUCUAUGUGUACACACAUGCAAUGUACAUAUAUUCAUGUACACACACAAACAUAUACAUAUAAUAUUAUCAUACAGUAUGCAUUGCUCUGUCUGCCUUUUUUUCACUUAUCAAUGUAUUUUGAAGAUCUCUGCAGGUCUCUAAUCCUUUUUAAUGGCUGCAUAAUAUUCCACAGUAUCAAUGCAUCACAAUUUCUUUAACUUACCUCCUAAUGGACAUUAAGUUGUUUCCAAGUUUAACUCCAAUUAAUACUGCACCAAAACAAUCCUCGAAUGUACUAACCUUUGAACCCAUAAGAGAGUAUUUAUUUAGUUUCCUAGAAGAAUUUCUGGAUUAAGAGGCUGAAUUUAACACUUUUCUACAUAGUGCCAACCUAAGGCAUUAGUCUAUGUGUCUACCUGCUGGUCCAUAACGUAGUUCCUGGAGAAAGUGGAUCUUAAAAGAGAUGAAUAAUUAAAUCUGCAAGAGUUUCAAAUAUCUCUUCAUAGCAUUCCAAAAUAUAACUCCCUUCUCUACUUCCCAUAACCAUGCCAAUCAGUCUCCUUACUUGCAGAAGAGGAAGGUAGUUGCUGUCUACUUUCUAUACUUCUUGGCACUUGUCCUACAACAACCAGUCGUAUCAUAUUUUUAUGCUAGUAACUUUCACUGCCCUUGCAAAGUCAUUUCUUUGAGUUGUCCUGAAAAGAACAGGAUCUCAAGGUGGGUCGUGGUGGGCAAGGAUCCCACCAGGCUUAAACUGAGGUGACAACAGGAUUUUCCAGUGGUGGGGAUCCUCUGGACCAUGGGGAAGGCAUGCAAGCGGCACUGGGAAUGGACAAGAGCAGGGCUGGAGCACAUAAAGUGGACCUGAGACGGUGGCACUGGGCUUUAUGUGUGCUAUGGGAAACAGAGAAGAACCUAAGGGAGAGGGUGUUUAUUUGAAAGCGGUGAGUUUGGAAAAUGAUAUUGAGGAAAUAAGCAGGCUGAAUAGAAGGCACCCGAAAAAGAAUGCCAGGAGAGAAAGUGAGCGACAACACCAGGGGACAAGACAAUGGUAAUUCCAUAAUUAGGUAUGAUCUGAGAUCAAUAUGGUCUGUUUGCUUUGUGUUCACUUGUCCUUCAUUCAAUUGCUGCUCUUUGGUGUUAUUUCUUGCCACGCUUUUCAAUACUUUAUGUGGCAUGUGCAGUGCAGUGUGUGUGUGUGUGUGUGUGUGUGUGUGUGUGUGUGUGUGUACGUGUGCAUUUUCCUUGAGGGAUAUUUUAAUGCAUGAUUUGUGAGUAAGUUUGGAUUCUCAAAACGUGGCAAUGCCAAAACAGAGAGAAGAAGUUGCUCAUUGCCAACUCUGAGGUGCAGUGGCAGUUCUCUUCAACAGGGGCCUGUUUUCCAGAAUCCAAAGAAGGGUAUAAGUACAGCAUCUUGCAAGUCAUGCAGCAAAACAGGUAAGAGAUGGCCCCUCUUUCCCCUUGUGUUGAAAUGUUGGUAAUGCUAUUUUUUGACAUGAACAAUAUAGAUAUAUUGCGGAGGAGAACACAGAAUUUACGUCAAUUUUUAUGAUAAAACAUGAGUGGCCAAGGAAAUUUCAAACCUGCUGCUGGUUGCUUCAGGCUGUACUACUCAAAUAAACCAAAACAUUUCUUUUCAUAUACUUUGAACUCUGAUUUCAUCGUCUUUUCCAUCUGGACUGUUAGGCGGGGACGACCAGACUCUCUUUCUUUAAUAGUCUAUGUAAUCAUUGAAGGGCCUAUCUUUGUUAUUUUAAAAUGAGGAUCUGUGCAUGUUUUAUGAAAUUCAUCCUAUCCCACUUCAGUUCAUCAGCUGGCCCAGAUAGGUUACUUUAAAGAAAACCGGGAGAAGACCAGCCAGCCUGAGAACCUUGGAGAAGUGUUGGCUUUCAAAUGGUUUCUGAAGUUAGGCAGAUGUUUACUCUCUGUCAUGGUUUGAAUGCUCGCCCCUCUAAAACUCAUGUUGAAAUUUAAUUGUCAAUGUAACGGUAUAAGGAAGUGGGGUUUUAAAACAUGAUUAGGCCAUGAGGGCUCCACUCUCUUGGGUGGGCUUACUGCCUUUACAAAGAGGCUUUGGAGAGUAGGCUGUCUCUCUUCUCACCCUCUAGCCUUCCUCCAUAUUAUGACACAGCAAGAAGGUUCUCGCUGGAUACCAGCACCUAGAUCUUAGAUUUUCCAGCCUCCAGAACUGUGAGAAAAUGAUUUUCUCUUCUUUGUAAAUUAUCCAGUCUGUGGUAUUCUGUUCUAGCAGCACAAAAGGGACUAAGACACGCUCAUUCCUGCUUGUUACUACAGCAUGGCUCCUACGAAGAGCGCCAAAACCUGCAGGGAAGUUGUGCUUUGGAUGAACCUCUUACUUCUUGGGCAUGGAAGUCCUUUCACCAAGAACAGAGACAGCCCUUGCCAAAUCUAAACUCACCGGGCCUAUGUUAUUUCAGGUGAAAACACUGUGUUUGUUCCAGGCACAAACACAUACAGGUGACUCAUCAGGUUCUAAGAUGGAACAUAAUGACACAAGAGUACCAGGCACAAAACCAUGCUCUCAAGCCACUCAGAAGGCACUUUAGAUGAUGAAAACCAAACAGAAGCUGAGUGACCAACCUCCCCACCCCCAUCACACUCAGCAGGCUGAGCAGAGUCACAGAACACACACACCUGGGUGGAACAGAUGGCACCCCGGUGCUAUUGUUAUUUUACAGUCUGGCUGAAUGGCAAGCUGAACUGUCAAGGACAAUAUGUAGACUAUUGCAGUUAAACAGGGGAUUGUGUCUCCCAAGAAAGGAUUCCACCAUCUCGGUGGAGUUAAGUAUAGCUUCUCCACACAGGGGAAGUGAGGACAGCUGAGAUUUUCCAGGAGAAGUGAUUUAGAUUAUAUAAAGACCCUUAAUGAAUUAUUUCCAGGCAUUGUCUGCAGUGUCAUAUUGCUUGAGCUUUCCGUUAGCAGCUUCCUGGAAAAGAACUUCUGCUUGUCUGGGUCUUGAGUUUCUGUUGCUUACAGCAGCCAGAGUUGCCAUCUGUGCACAUAUAGAGCAUAUAUUUUAAAUUUUGACAUUUCCAAAAUAUGACUGUUUUGUAAAAUUAUUUGGAUAAAAUAUGUCUGAUGGGAAAGCACACAGCCUGUGUGUGAGAACUUGGGAAGCAAACUGACGAGAGGCUCCUGGCAGGUUGUAUUAAUUCUUAACAUGCAAAACAGCCACAUGUUGGAAGCUAAUACUGGAGCAAGGCUGAAAUCUAUUAUUAUUUCAGAGUAUUAGCAUUGUUUGGUGUAGAAUAACUUAACCGUAAUGACACAUUGAGAAAUCAAUAUGACACGAGAGCCAGUGCGCAUUUUCUUAAAGAUGAACUGGCUGAUGGUUUUAGCAAUGUUUUAACAGAAGGAAUAAGCAAAUUUCAAAAGUAAAUGAAUCCGAAGCUGAUAAGCAAGUAAUACAUUUGUAGUACAUGAAUGAUUUUGUUUGAGUUUGCGAUUAUCACCAUAUUGCUCUAGAAAUAUAUAGUACGGCCUUUUACUUUGUGUUCCAAUUACUCCACAUGUCCUAUAGUUGUAUGCAUUUUAUAUAUUUGUCAUUCAUAAGCAAGGAACUCAAAUUUUCUGUUCUUAAAAAACACUCAAUUUAGUAUUGUUUGACAGGAUGGUAUGAAAAGUUGAAGAUGGAGAGAAAAAAGGCUGGAUUGUAAUUUUAGUGACCAAAAGAGAAAAUAAUAUCCUCCUCUAAGAUUCCUUACUCUAUUUUGUCAAAGUGGAAGUAACUUAACUUUUUGCUGCUAAUUAUAAGAAAAUUAAAUUCUUGUUAAAAGUAAUUUGAGUAGUACAGAAGUAUAAAGUGAAAGGUGAAGGUAUCUCUGUAAUCCCACCCCACCGAGAUUACAACUGUUAACAGUUUGAUAUGUGUAUUUCUUGAUUUCUAAAUGCAUAGGUAUAAGCAAAUAUGUAUAAAUAAAACAAUUGAGGUUAUUUGGAA